CUCUAUAGUACGCAUUACUUUAUUAUUCUGUGUUUAAAAUUUUCGGCUGUUUUAAUCGUUCCAUUAUAAUAUAUAAUUAGUAACAGUCAACAGCAUGCCUUAAUUAUAUAUGUUUUAUAAUAUAUAGAUAAGCUACGAAAAACAAAUUGUUCUCUUCAGGAUAAGUGUAAAACGCUUGAAAGGAAAACAAUGGAUAAAGGAAAUCAUUGAUUCCAAAAUCAUUGAUUUCUAGAAUGCCGCAAAACAUGUUUCCGCGGCUUACGCUAUCGUACAGUGCAAUCACUCUCGCGGAAAACUUCCUCGUCCCACGAAUGUAUAACCGCGGCCAGGUCCUCCGUACCGAAAGGGUUAAUAAUAAAAAGGAAAAUAAAUAUUUAAUAUACCUAUUUUUCAUUAAAUUAUGUUAUUAUCAUUUUCCAGCAAAUAUUUAUAGUAAAUUCUUUUAUACCAUUGAAUUUUCUCAAGCAAAUUUAUAUUUAAAACAUUUUAUACAAAAUUUUACGAAAAUCCUAUUUGAUUUUUCAAAUAGAAUGUUAUAUCAGAAUUUGUAAGGACAAGUUAUUAACGAACAAUGGAUUUACAAAAAUAAUUAACAAUACAUUUACCAUAAUUACUAUAUGCAGAAAAAAUAUUUUGUCGACGUAUGUCGAUAAGAAAAAGAAAAAAAUAGAAAAGAGAUAAAAUAGAAAAAUCCGACGAAAAAACGGAUUUUUUCUUAUUAUUAUUUUAAACGGAUUUUUUCUUUUAUUAUUGUAUACGGAAAAAUGAUUUUUUCGUGCACAAUAAUAAAAGAGAAUAAAAUAGAAGAAUCUUAAAUCUUUAAUAGAGUCAAUACGGAAAGAUCAGAUGGAAACCUUCAACCUCGAUAUGUAAUUAUGCGUAUACGAUAGAAAGAGAAAUAGUGAAAAGAAAGAACAAAAUGAUGUUAAUAAAGAGGAAUUGUUCGAAGAUGGGAGUUUGCAGAAAGAGUAAAAGAGAGAAAAGACGAGAAAAAGUAUCGUGAAAAGCCGCUAAUGCUACAAAUCGGGAGGAUAUGAAAAGAAUAAAGCAAAAGAAAAACAAAAAGAAAAAGGUACACAAUAGAAAAGAAAAGAAAGAAAGAGAAGAGAAAGAGGGAAAAGAGAUAAUAGAAA